UGGGGAAUUUUGGACAAUGGGGGAAACCCUGAUCCAGCCAUCCCGCGUGUGCGAUGAAGGCCUUCGGGUUGUAAAGCACUUUUGGCAGGAAAGAAACGUCGUGGGUUAAUACCCCGCGAAACUGACGGUACCUGCAGAAUAAGCACCGGCUAACUACGUGCCAGCAGCCGCGGUAAUACGUAGGGUGCAAGCGUUAAUCGGAAUUACUGGGCGUAAAGCGUGCGCAGGCGGUUCGGAAAGAAAGAUGUGAAAUCCCAGAGCUUAACUUUGGAACUGCAUUUUUAACUACCGGGCUAGAGUGUGUCAGAGGGAGGUGGAAUUCCGCGUGUAGCAGUGAAAUGCGUAGAUAUGCGGAGGAACACCGAUGGCGAAGGCAGCCUCCUGGGAUAACACUGACGCUCAUGCACGAAAGCGUGGGGAGCAAACAGGAUUAGAUACCCUGGUAGUCCACGCCCUAAACGAUGUCAACUAGCUGUUGGGGUCUUCGGACCUUGGUAGCGCAGCUAACGCGUGAAGUUGACCGCCUGGGGAGUACGGUCGCAAGAUUAAAACUCAAAGGAAUUGACGGGGUCAUAGCUGUUUCCU
rnacentral:rRNA from 1 species